AAUAAUUAAGCCUCAUUUUUGUUAUAUUUGGAAUGUGACAAGCGCCAUCUUCUAACCAAGUCCAAACAUGAGUGGCCUAACUUGACCCUAGGGAAAGGAAUUGUGAUGUCCGUCCUAUUGGAUCGUGGGUGGGACGUGCAACAUGUCUAUGGAAUGGGAAAAUAAUAACAAAUUUGUAGAUGCAAUUAUUAUUUCUGUGGCAGGUACAAAAAAGAAGAUAGAGUCAAAUGUUUCCAUUUGGAUUGACAGUGGUCUGGAACAAAAGAGGUGGUCUGUUAUUAUUUCUGUAGGUACGCCUUAACUCCACCCCUGGGCAAGACUUGAUAAACCACAGGGUAUAUAUCUAAUGAUCCUGAAGGGUGUUGGUGUACUUGCGUGGGGCCAAGAUCUAAUUUUGGGUGAGUCACCAUCUUUCCUUGCCAGAGACCCCCUGGACAGAAGUUGUACUUUGAAAACCUAAGUGAGCAAUUAGGACUUCUGUAUUUUAUCCUUUUUGUUUUUAUCUGUUGUUGGUGUAAAUAAUUUGUUUAUCAUAUAUUUUUAUAUGCACUGUGACUAUCUUUUGCUCAUAAUAAACAUUCAUUUAUUAAGUUUUGCCUUUGUCUGGUUAAGAAUCACGUUACUUGAAGAGACUAGUUAGUGUUUUUGUAAUUCCUUGAAUAUUGUACUAAGUAAUAUUUGGUGGGUUUUAUUGUUGAUUUACCUGGGGGACCAAGGCACCCCAUUUAUAAAUUGUCUUGGUGGUGGCAGCGUUAAAAUAGUAAUAGUUAUAUUAUUAUGUUUAAGUGUGGGUGGUGUUAAAAGGGGUAUUUUGUCAUUAUUUCCGGUCUAGUGCAGACAAAUAGUGUACUUUAACCCUUUCACCACCACAACUACGUCACGCACACUCUUGGAGUAGGGUGCGUUCGUGACACCUAGUGUCUCAGUGUCCCCUAGUGUCCCCAUGUUUUCCAGUGUCCCCAAGUGUCUCAGUGUUCCCAGGUCUCCCAGUGUCUGUGUCUUAGUGUCUCAGUGUCCCCAUGUGUACCUACUGCCUUCCCCCCCAUCCCUCACUUACCUGAGCUGUAGAGCUGCUGUCUGGACUCUGUGCUGUGUUGCUGCUCCCCCACGGAUCAGUGAGUAGUAGAGAGAGGCAGGGAUAUUCUUCUACUGGCCGGUGCUGGUAUUGCAGGGUAAUCUCCAUUUAUUCUGCGAAAAUUACCUGCAUUUGUAUUGCCGGUAUUACGGCAAUACCGUCAUGGCCAGGCAGCCUCACAUACCGGCUGUGCCAGUAAAAUAGCACUCAGGUGGCAAACCUAAGAGUAGUGUGUAAAAAAUAAAAAAAUUAAAUAAAAAUAAAACUUUUUUUUUUUAAAUGGACCUAUCCCAUGGGCCUGGGCCUGGGCCUGGGCCUGGAGCUGCAGCUCCAUCAGCCCCUAUGUUAAUCCGGCCCUGCACAGGUGGGCUUAAAACCCGUAAGCAGCUUCCUUCACCGGCAAGUACCAGAGACCACAAAGGGAACAGGGUGGCCAGUGGAAAGAACUUUCAAAGUGUUGGAGGCACCGGGGGAAACCCCCCCACACUAUGUGGGCACUGCUGACCCUGUAGGCCUGCCACUAUACCUCCUAAGAUGAGCCGCAGCUAUGAGGGCGACUGGCAUAGGAUGACCGAGGCUCCGAAACUCGUGGCCACCGCACCUGACCAUCCGAUGUUACAGAUAUGUCAGAAUGUUGUGCCCUGAAAUAUUAUUUUACGUUUCUCACUAUUAUCUUUUGUUCUAGCAACACCUUGCUCUUCUCCUGUAAUCUGUUAUUAUUUCUUUCGACAACUACUGAAUAGAGCAGCACAGGUCUAUUACCUGUUUAAGCUAAGAAAUCAGUUUAUGUAUAAUCAAGCAUAGUGUCACUAAGGUAAAGCCUAGAGUAAACGUGAAUUCUAUCAGUUUUACUGCACUAAACCAGCUGCAACAUUAGCUAGAACCGCUAAACUACUAAUCAUAUCAAAAGCGCAGUCUUACUAGAUAUAUCCUUUGUACAGCGCUACGGAAUCUGAUGGCGCUAUAUAAAUAAUAAAAUAAUAAUAACAAUAUAUGUUAAGGCGGAGCCUGUAGUUGUGGAAGGGGUUUACCGGCCUAUUUAUACCCAGACUUACCUCCACUCAGGGCCAACACCGAUCCAGACUACUUUGCGACCACUUCCGGUUCCAGUCUGCCUCAGCGUUGCUCCCACCAGGAACGAAGUACCACACUGACCUAAUCCUGGGAGACUACCACCCUUCACCCGCAGACAUAGGCAACUUCCAGCCUCACGGAGGGCACUGUUCCCCGCAGGCAAUCCCAACAGCCAACCGCAGCAUUCUGCCCCCGCCGCCGCUUUGCAGCAUUGCAUUCAGGCUGUGAGUUUUAAAGGUAAAGUGAGUACCCUUAGAUCAGCGUGGCUCUCCCGCGCUACCUUUCGAGUCACGGCAUCUGGCUCAACUCCCACUGAGCCCCUGGCCAGUUAACUCCGUAUGAAUAGAUGGCCAACUUACUUGUUACCGCUCCUAGUCACCGCCAGUACUCUGGUCAAGCUGAUAUCCAACCUUCCCGCAGCUCCCGGGUCUCUGCUUCUUGCUUCCUGGGUCUGGUCGUUCGCCCCGCAAAUUGUGAGUUGGCCAUGCUGGGCAUUACAUACAUUAUGCAUUUGACAGUCGAACGGUCACUUACCUUAUAGGCGGUCCACGAUUCAACCACCUUUCAACCAGUUAGCCACACGUUACAUAUUCACACCCUCUUGUUCCCCUCACGGACAGCCAGGCAUGACAAUCUUGUCAAUUGUAAAUGUAAAAUAAAUUAGUAAAAUGAAGCAUAAUAUAGCAUAUUCUGUGGUUUAAUAACUGUUUAGGUCUAUUUACACCACAAUUAGGUGCGCUCCUUUCUUAGACAAAGUGCUAUCUAUCCUCCAACACAUACUCGUUGCUUGUUGUCAUACGACAUUACUAUACUAAUGCUUUCCAAACAUGCUUAAGAUGGCCGUUAUGUUCACACUUACGUUCUGUUUCCAUUUGCAUUCCGUGAUUUAAACCUUGGCUUUAUUAAAAUCGGGUUGCAUGCGGACAAGUAUUGUAUACAGUCCUAAAUUACUAUGUACAGCCUCUCUUGUUACUGGUUCAUUCACUAGGUACUGACCUAACUUAUUUAAACCACCGAAUACAUUCCACUCGGUCAGUAACUUCUUUACAUUCGGUCCACGAUUUGACCACCUUAGCCAAUUCAGCCACACGUUACAUAUUCACAUUCAGUGUUCUUUGCAUACUGCCCCCUGACAGCCAGCCAGGCAUGACAGCCUCGUCAUUCAUUGUACAUUACAUGAUUGCGUCCCUUAGUUUACCAUAAGGGUUGCUAUUUACUUAGUCGUGUUCAGUCAAAUUACAGUGACGUUGUACCCACACAGCAAGUUCCUUAAUUAGCUUUUUUACCUCAUUAGCAUAUUCUGUGGUUUCAUAUAGGUAUAUGUUAAUCCACUUCCCAAUUAGAGGGUUCUUUUCCUAAACAACGCGCUAAAUAUCCUCCUACAAAUGAGCAUUGCUUGACUAUUGCGACUUUACUAGGUUUUAACGCUUUCCAAAUAUGCACAAUAAGGCCGCUAGGUUCACACUCACGUUCGGCCACCAUUUGCAUGUCUGGGUUUUGGAGCCUCGGCUUUGUUAGAUUCUGGUUGCACAUGGGUAUGUACAAUAUACAGUCCUACAUUAGCAUGUGCAUUCUUUUGUGCCCGCCGGUUAGUACACAAUACGUGCUGAUGGAGUCACUAUAAUGGUUACUCUGCAAUCUCUCGAAUCGCGUAAUAUCUCACCUAAUAAUUGAUCAUUCCGUAUUCACGCCUAAACUAUCCACACGAUACCCAGACGGUAUCCUACUAAGACAUACCUUAGCCCCUCCUCAGUGCAUUAAGUUCAAUUACUAUUCUGCUUACUUGGGUGUGCGUAUGCGGCCAGAUCCACACAUCUGUACAGUAAACACUGAAUCCGCACUCUAUCUAAAAUACAUCCAAUAAGUCACGUACUAUCUGUGUGCGGCCACCUUGCCAUCCAAGUAUUACUAUGGGCUUGGCCUUGUACUGUUUACUUAAGUCACAGCCCUCCCUAGGCCUUCACGACUUACUCUGCACAUGACCAUCAGGGUGCUUACUGCUACAUCCUACUCUUUUCCCCUCCAAUUUGGCAUGGCAUAUGGAAGCCGUACGGCUUCCCUGGAUUAUACACGGCUUUAGCAUACCAUGUGCAGGAUACACCAUUCAGUCACACGGCCACUUCUACCCAGCGGACGGCACCCGGGUCAUUACAGAGGGACUAUAUUGUCUGUUUACAUACAUUUAUCCAUUCCCCCCUGUCACGGCAAGGGUGUAUAAUUUAUUAUGACACUAUGGAAUAUCAUCUUUUAAUGUGAUUUCUUGUAGUAAAUGGCACAAAUUACAGAGAUGCUAUUGCUGAGGUCAACAGGGGUUACAUCUUUUGAAGCUGGGACCCCCACAGAGGGCAGAUGACAGAAGGGGUAGUGUGAAUGGCAUAGGAAUGUGAAAAGGAUUUUACUGUAUGGAUGUGAAGUCUGCAAGGUGAGAGGUUCUACACUUGGAAAAGUCUGAAUGUCUCUUCAUCCAUUUGGCCUAUACCUUGUAAGUGAUGAGUAAAUCUCUUUGAUAUGUAAAUGCCAUUAGCUUUGUUCCAGUAUCAUAUCCAAAGGAAGGACAAAAACAUUCAUAUUUACCCCCACAGAAUAAUAAUUAAGCCUAAUUUUUGUUAUAUUUGGAAUGUGACAAGCGCCAUCUUCUAACCAAGUCCAAACAUGAGUGGCCUAACUUGACCCUAGGGAAAGGAAUUGUGAUGUCCGUCCUAUUGGAUCGUGGGUGGGACGUGCAACAUGUCUAUAGAAUGGGAAAAUAAUAACAAAUUUGUAGAUGCAAUUAUUAUUUCUGUGGCAGGUACAAAAAAGAAGAUAGAGUCAAAUGUUUCCAUUUGGAUUGACAGUGGUCUGGAACAAAGGAGGUGGUCAGUUAUUAUUUCUGUAGGUACGCCUUAACUCCACCCCUGGGCAAGACUUGAUAAACCACAGGGUAUAUAUCUAAUGAUCCUGAAGGGUGUUGGUGUACUUGCUUGGGGCCAAGAUCUAAUUUUGGGUGAGUCACCAUCUUUCCUUGCCAGAGACCCC